AUACAUAAGAUUAACAAUGGGACCGUUGACCAAAACAACGAUUAACAAGGCCCUUCCAUAUGGGGAAUCUUUUCACUAUUUUGGAUUCAUUCACCAUUUGUGACAAUACAAGCUUGACUCGUUUCUCUCGAAUGUGACAAUACAAGUUUGACCCGUUUCUCUCUAGAAUCAUUGGAUUCUUCAAAACCCAACAUCAAAUAUUUAACUUCUUGAAUGUUGUAGACUUUCAGUCUUGUAUAAGCAAGGAAGACACCUAGAAAAGAGAGAGUUAAAAGAAAUGGCUAAGUUCUUCAUAAAUCAAGCCAAGCAAUACGCUGCAGCCCGGCCUAAUUACCCGAUCCAACUCUUCGAGUUCAUCGCAUCAAAAACACCGUGCCACGACCUUGCAUGGGACGUUGGUACAGGAAGCGGCCAGGCCUCACGAUCGGUAACAAUGUUUACUAAUUUAUAUAGGCAAUUUCCUGUUUUUUUGUUGCUUCUACUAUUCGUGGGGUCCACCGACACGUGGCGAUCCGCGAUUGGUUCUUUUUUAAUUUAAUUGUUUUUUAAUCAGAUAAAAAAAUAAAAAAUAAACACCCCCUAAUGGGGUGCUGGAAUAAAGAUGCUAUUACCUUUGUGUUGUUGUAUAUAGGGAGAAAUAAGUGAUGCAUCUCUGUAUUUAAAUGACCAAAUAUACAUAAUAAUAAUAAUAUCACCGGUCCAUUUGAUAAAAAAAAAAGUAUAUAUAUCACAUGGGCUUUUUUAAAGGUUAAAAUACGAAGUUAAUUCUAUGUUCCAAAUUCUAACCAUAUGGGCUUAUUUUGUGAGAUUCCUCAAUUACUUUAUUAGCUCUAUAUGGGCUAAUGACAUAGUCAACAAAUCCAAUACAUAAGAUUAACAAUGGGACCGUUGACCAAAACAACGAUUAACAAGGGCCCUUCCAUGAAAGCGGGGAAUCUUUUCACUAUUUUGGAUUCAUUCACCAUUAGUGAUAAUACAAGUUUGACUCGUUUCUCUCGAAUGUGACAAUACAAGUUUGACAAUACAAGUUUGACCCGUUUCUCUCGAAUGUGACAAUACAAGUUUGACCCGUUUCUCUCUCGAAUCAUUGGAUUCUUCAAAACCCAACAUCAAAGAUUUAACUUCUUGAAUGUUGUAGACUUUCAGUCUUGUAUAAGCAAGGGAGAAAUAAGUGAUGCAUCUGUAUUUAAAUGACCAAAUAUACAUAAUAAUAAUAAUAUCACCGGUCCAUUUGAUAAAAAAAAAUGUAUAUAUAUCACAUGGGCUUUUUUAAAGGUUAAAAUACGAAGUUAAUUCUAUUUUCCAAAUUAUAACCAUAUGGGCUUAUUUUGUGAGAUUCCUCAAUUACUUUAUUAGCUCUAUAUGGGCUAAUGACAUAGUCAACAAAGCCAAUACAUAAGAUUAACAAUGGGACCGUUGACCAAAACAACGAUUAACAAGGCCCUUCCAUAUGGGGAAUCUUUUCACUAUUUUGGAUUCAUUCACCAUUUGUGACAAUACAAGCUUGACUCGUUUCUCUCGAAUGUGACAAUACAAGUUUGACCCGUUUCUCUCUAGAAUCAUUGGAUUCUUCAAAACCCAACAUCAAAUAUUUAACUUCUUGAAUGUUGUAGACUUUCAGUCUUGUAUAAGCAAGGAAGACACCUAGAAAAGAGAGAGUUAAAAGAAAUGGCUAAGUUCUUCAUAAAUCAAGCCAAGCAAUACGCUGCAGCCCGACCUAAUUACCCGAUCCAACUCUUCGAGUUCAUCGCAUCAAAAACACCGUGCCACGACCUUGCAUGGGACGUUGGUACAGGAAGCGGCCAGGCCUCACGAUCGGUAACAAUGUUUACUAAUUUAUAUAGGCAAUUUCCAGUUUCUUGAUUUUCCUCAAUUUUGAUUAAAACCAAUUGGCGGAUUUGUUAAUAUAUAUAAUCAAAUUAUUUCACUUUUUUUAUGAUUUCACUUUUUAUUGAAAACGUUACAUUCUUUAGUUUUGAUUUUUUUUUAAAAAAAUUUUGUAGCUAG
rnacentral:lncRNA from 1 species